rnacentral:rRNA from 1 species
CCUACGGGAGGCAGCAGUGGGGAAUAUUGGACAAUGGGCGCAAGCCUGAUCCAGCAAUGCCGCGUGUGUGAAGAAGGCCUUCGGGUUGUAAAGCACUUUCACUAGGGAGGAAAAGCGAUGCGUUAAUACCGUAUAGCCGUGACGUUACCUAGAGAAGAAGCACCGGCUAACUCCGUGCCAGCAGCCGCGGUAAU